GAUCCCUCAGGCCUGUGGGAGAAUCACUGAGCAGAUCCUUGUGCUACUGAUUCCAUCUCUCCCCACUUUUCUAAGUUCUAGAUGGCAAGCUCACUUAGAUCACAAGAAGUCCUCCUGUAGUUAUCUGCACAAUAAAUGAAAGUGAGAUUACACAUCCCAAAUCUGUGUUCUCUUACAGGCGAACUGACUGAUCUGAGGAAUUUCUGGAGCAGCAAACUUGUUUCCUCAAAUAUUAACUGUGCAAGGCAUGGAGCUCAGAGAAAGGAUUUAAUGGCAAAAGCAUCGCCCAUGCAAUGAUCUUUUGACAAAUUCUGCCCCGAGCUUUCCUUAGGAGGAUCUGAAAGGCUCCAUGUCCCUAGCAAAAGCUCCUGCAAUGGCUGCACGCCAGCAGAGCAGGGCUUUCAGCUGUGAAACAAGUGCUGCCACAAGCAGCAGCUUGGCCAGGGCAGCAAAUCAAGAGGUGGGAAGGAGCUGAUCUGAAGGCCAAACCUCCUCAGCUCCUUCUAAAGGGGCUGCAUCAGUUCCUCAUUCCAGUGAGGUGGAGUGCUGGACACCACAGCUCCCUGUGAGGACUGGACACAAGGUUGCUCCCGCUGAGUGCUGUGAUGGUUUCUGCAGGAGCUGUGGGCUCCAGAGUGUGCCAGACACAAGGAGGAGAGAAGGAGCCAAGUGCACUGACACACCUUUGCCUUGAGCAUAACCCGGCCUUGCCCAAACACACUGAAAGCUUUCCCCUUUGGCCCAUGGCUGGAAACGUCAGGUCAGCUGUGUGAGGGAUAAAAUAUAAUGUUUUCCUUCGGCCAUGGUAGGUAGCCAUAGGAAGGAGAGCUCACGUCAGGCAGGCAAAGAGGUAUUUAUUUCUCUGCUUGUUUCUUUCGUUGGGCGGAGCGCGCGGCGGCUCCUCCCUUGGGCUCGCUGAGGGAACGGACGAACGGCCGCGCGCUCCGGCGGCUCGGCAGCGGCAGCGGCAGCAGCGCCUCUCUCCAUCGGUUUUCCGCUCGACUUUCCGCUCGCUCUCCGUCCCCUUCUCCCUCUCACACUCACUCUACUGCCGUCCCGUGCCGUGCCGUGCCGUCCCUCUCAGCCUCUCCCAGCCCGGCUUAUGCCGCGUCCCGCAAGGCGCCCGUGGGCGAGUCGGCCCCCGGCCCGCCCCUGUCGGGCCUGCCGCGGUCCCACCUCGGCCAGGUUCUCUCCGCACUGCUUGUGGCGCCUCUGGAAGAGUUUCUGGAAGAGCUCCUCGCUCUGCGGGUGGCGGAGCGGCACCGUCUUUUGGCUCCGCCUGGUGCGGGCCCUGGCCCGGCCCC
rnacentral:lncRNA from 1 species